CAGAGACAAGUGGUACAGAGGCAGGUGCAAGUCUGCGAUUACCCACUCCAGAAUACGCUAUUUGUCUGGCGCUCUGUGGUUCUGUUCCUUAGCGAAUCAGUGAGCAGAGAUCACGAGAUAGUUUGGUGGGUUUAUGGGGUUAUCACGAAAGCUCCCGAGACCAGAGGAACGCCCGCAAGGUGAAAUGACACAAUAUAUCAUCUGCAUCCUGAGAGGCGGUCUGCGUUGCGUAAAAGAAGCGGAUGAUUGAAGAUAAACUGGGAGGUUUCCCGUGUCUCGGGGUGAUUCCAGUGUCUCAGGAGUCGCGUCUGAGCGGUAAUAGACGAGAGAGACCUAGAGAGAAGAGGUUGUUUGCGCUCCCGGGAGGUCCCGCUCUGCAUGAAAAGGAGCGAUGUAAAAGAGAUUGCCAACGAUAAGAAGCAAGGCGGCUCCACGGCUCCACAGAUUCACUCCAGUGAUCAGAGAGAGAGAGAGAGAGCACUGGCUGACCACAGUGACCUGAGACCAUACAAACUGCUUGGUUGAUGAAGAUACAGACAACAGGUUGGCCCCACCCCUCCACACCAUCCCCGACCCAUCGUUGAGCUCUUCAAAAACAUUUAACAAUCAACACUUCUGAACAACGUUUCCUUCUGACACACUCUCUCGACCUUUCACCAGAAAAACAACAGCCUGGUCCCACAACAGUGACUGUAGCUCCAGCCUGGUCACACAACAGUGACUGUAGCUCCAGCCUGGUCCCACAACAGUGACUGUAGCUCCAGCCUGGUCACUCAACAGUGACUGUAGCUCCAGCCUGGUCCCACAACAGUGACUGUAGCUCCAGCCUGGUCCCACAACAGUGACUGUAGCUCCAGCCUGGUCCCACAACAGUGACUGUAGCUCCAGCCUGGUCCCACAACAGUGACUGUAGCUCCAGCCUGGUCCCACAACAGUGACUGUAGCUCCAGCCUGGUCCCACAACAGUGACUGUAGCUCCAGCCUGGUCACACAACAGUGACUGUAGCUCCAGCUUGGUCCCACAACAGUGACUGUAGCUCCAGCCUGGUCCCACAACAGUGACUGUAGCUCCAGCUUGGUCCCACAACAGUGACUGUAGCUCCAGCCUGGUCCCACAAUAGUGACUGUAGCUCCAGCCUGGUCCCACAAAGACCAGUAAACGAAGAGGAAUAACAGUAGUCUGAAGCUGCUCACACACAGUAACAUGGUGCCCCCUCUUCCCACCUUUUGACGUUGGGAACCAUCUUUUCAAAGUACUCUCUGUCCAUCUUCUCUCUGUCCAUCUUCUCUCAGUCCAUCUUCUCUCUGUCCAUCUUCUCUCAGUCCAU